rnacentral:rRNA from 1 species
GGGAUGAUGGGUACAUUAGGAGGACUGCCGCCGCCAAAGCGGAGGAAGGAACGGGCAACGGUAGGUCAGUAUGCCCCGAAUGGGCUGGGCUACACGCGGGCUACAAUGGCCGAGACAAUGGGUUCCCACCCCGAGAGGGGGCGGUAAUCUCAGAAACUCAGUCGUAGUUCGGAUUGUGGGUUGAAACUC